rnacentral:rRNA from 1 species
AUUGAACGCUGGCGGAAUGCUUUACACAUGCAAGUCGAACGGCAGCACGGGGCAACCUGGUGGCGAGUGGCGAACGGGUGAGUAAUACAUCGGAACGUGCCCAAUCGUGGGGGAUAACGUAGCGAAAGUUACGCUAAUACCGCAUACGAUCUACGGAUGAAAGCGGGGGAUCGCAAGACCUCGCGCGAAUGGAGCGGCCGAUGUCAGAUUAGGUAGUUGGUGGGGUAAAGGCUCACCAAGCCAACGAUCUGUAGCUGGUCUGAGAGGACGACCAGCCACACUGGAACUGAGACACGGUCCAGACUCCUACGGGAGGCAGCAGUGGGGAAUUUUGGACAAUGGGCACAAGCCUGAUCCAGCCAUUCCGCGUGCAGGAUGAAGGCCUUCGGUUGUAACUGCUUUGUUACGGAACGAAACGGCGAGCUCUAAUACAGUUUGCUAAUGACGGUACCGUAAGAAUAAGCACCGGCUAACUACGUAGCCAGCAGCCGCGG